ACGGGGGCAGCAGUAGGGAAUCUUCCACAAUGGGCGAAAGCCUGAUGGAGCAACGCCGCGUGAGUGAAGAAGGAUUUCGGUUCGUAAAACUCUGUUGCAAGGGAAGAACAAGUAGCGUAGUAACUGGCGCUACCUUGACGGUACCUUGUUAGAAAGCCACGGCUAACUACGUGCCAGCAGCCGCGGUAAUACGUAGGUGGCAAACGUUGUCCGGAAUUAUUGGGCGUAAAGCGCGCGCAGGUGGUUCCUUAAGUCUGAUGUGAAAGCCCACGGCUCAACCGGGGAGGGUCAUUGGAAACUGGGGAACUUGAGUGCAGAAGAGGAAAGUGGAAUUCCAAGUGUAGCGGUGAAAUGCGUAGAGAUUUGGAGGAACACCAGUGGCGAAGGCGACUUUCUGGUCUGUAACUGACACUGAGGCGCGAAAGCGUGGGGAGCAACCAGGAUUAGAUACCCUGGUA
rnacentral:rRNA from 1 species